UGCCAAUCAACCUGUGGCCGGACCAGGGCUGCCAUCUUCCCGGCAGACCAUUUCUGCUCUUCCGCCGUACGGCCUCUGUCAUUGGCCAGGACGGCCUCGUUUCAGCUCUAAGUAUACACCGAUUGGUGCGCCUAAAGAGCACCGAAAACAGUGCCUGCCAUUUGGAAUGCCCAAAUGAAUGAGUGACUUGGAUGAACUUCUGAGCUGAGAUCUGACUGAAGUUAGGAAGUGAGCCAGGAGAUGUCUGCGGCAGAGAAUUCCGGAUAGAGGGAACAGCAAAGACAAAGCCCGGAAGCAGGCAGCUUGCAGAAUCUUAGUUCUCCAACCAGGGAUUGAACCCCGGCCUUCAGCGG